UAACUUUGAGCGGUGGAUCACUCGGCUCGUGCAUCGAUG
rnacentral:rRNA from 1 species